rnacentral:rRNA from 1 species
GACAGAGGAUGCAAGCGUUAUCCGGAAUGAUUGGGCGUAAAGCGUCUGUAGGUGGCUUUUAAGUCCGCCGUCAAAUCCCAGGGCUCAACCCUGGACAGGCGGUGGAAACUACCAAGCUGGAGUACGGUAGGGGCAGAGGGAAUUUCCGGUGGAGCGGUGAAAUGCGUAGAGAUCCGGAAGAACACCGGAGGCGAAGGCGGCUUGCUGGGCUUGGUCUGACGCUGAGCGCGAAAGCGUGGGGAGCGAA